UACGAAGGUGGCAAGCGUUGUUCGGAUUUACUGGGCGUACAGGGAGCGUAGGCGGUUGGAUAAGCCCUCCGUGAAAUCUCCAGGCUUAACCUGGAAAGUGCAGAGGGGACUGUUCAGCUAGAGGAUGGGAGAGGAGCGCGGAAUUCCCGGUGUAGCGGUGAAAUGCGUAGAGAUCGGAAGGAACAUCAGUGGCGAAAGCGGCUUCCUGGUCCAGCACCGACGUUCAGGCACGAAAGCGUGGGGAGCAAACAGG
rnacentral:rRNA from 1 species